rnacentral:rRNA from 1 species
UGGGGAAUAUUGGAAAUGGGCGAAAGCCUGAUCCAGCCAUGCCGCGUGUGUGAAGAAGGUCUUCGGAUUGUAAAGCACUUUAAGUUGGGAGGAAGGGCAGUAAGCGAAUACCUUGCUGUUUUGACGUUACCGACAGAAUAAGCACCGGCUAACUCUGUGCCAGCAGCCGCGGUAAUACAGAGGGUGCAAGCGUUAAUCGGAAUUACUGGGCGUAAAGCGCGCGUAGGUGGUUCGUUAAGUUGAAUGUGAAAGCCCCGGGCUCAACCUGGGGACUGCAUCCAAAACUGGCGAGCUAGAGUAGGGCAGAGGGUGGUGGAAUUUCCUGUGUAGCGGUGAAAUGCGUAGAUAUAGGAAGGAACACCAGUGGCGAAGGCGACCACCUGGGCUCAUACUGACACUGAGGUGCGAAAGCGUGGGGAGCAAACAGG